rnacentral:rRNA from 1 species
GAUGAACGCUGGCGGCGUGCCUAAUACAUGCAAGUCGAGCGAACUGAUUAGAAGCUUGCUUCUAUGACGUUAGCGGCGGACGGGUGAGUAACACGUGGGCAACCUGCCUGUAAGACUGGGAUAACUUCGGGAAACCGAAGCUAAUACCGGAUAGGAUCUUCUCCUUCAUGGGAGAUGAUUGAAAGAUGGUUUCGGCUAUCACUUACAGAUGGGCCCGCGGUGCAUUAGCUAGUUGGUGAGGUAACGGCUCACCAAGGCAACGAUGCAUAGCCGACCUGAGAGGGUGAUCGGCCACACUGGGACUGAGACACGGCCCAGACUCCUACGGGAGGCAGCAGUAGGGAAUCUUCCGCAAUGGACGAAAGUCUGACGGAGCAACGCCGCGUGAGUGAUGAAGGCUUUCGGGUCGUAAAACUCUGUUGUUAGGGAAGAACAAGUACGAGAGUAACUGCUCGUACCUUGACGGACCUAA